GCGAUUAGGUCGGGAACUCAAAGGAGACUGCCAGUGAUAAACUGGAGGAAGGUGGGGAUGACGUCAAGUCAUCAUGGCCCUUACGACCAGGGCUACACACGUGCUACAAUGGCGCAUACAAAGAGAAGCGACCUCGCGAGAGCAAGCGGACCUCAUAAAGUGCGUCGUAGUCCGGAUUGGAGUCUGCAACUCGACUCCAUGAAGUCGGAAUCGCUAGUAAUCGUGGAUCAGAAUGCCACGGUGAAUACGUUCCCGGGCCUUGUACACACCGCCCGUCACACCAUGGGAGUGGGUUGCAAAAGAAGUAGGUAGCUUAACCUUCGGGAGGGCGCUUACCACUUUGUGAUUCAUGACUGGGGUGAAGUCGUAACAAGGUAACCGUAGGGGAACCUGC
rnacentral:rRNA from 1 species